CUCUUUGGUGGAAUAGUCACAUAACAUUCUUUCGCCUUUUACUAACGAAUACCGUGUGCUUGCCACUUAUAAUGGCAUACACUAAUUUUUGGAAGGGUAUCUCCUCCAUUGGAGAAA